AAACUCGCAUUGGUAAAUCACGACCUCCUUUGUUUUUUGCGCUUCUCCAAUGGUUAGUUGCCUUAAAUUUUCUAUUAUUGUGAAUUAUUUGGGUUCAGGUUAACAUUUACAAAUAACAGAUAAGUUAUGGUAAAUUCAUGUUAUGAUUAUUGUACUUAUUCAAGUUGUGCUUUGAGAUGUCUUUGGAGGCAUGGUUGCCUGUAGUGGACUAAUACGAGUACUUGCUAUGUUCUUUCUGGUGAUUAGAUUAUAUCCUAGCAAUCAAUCAUUGUAGUCUUGUUCUUUUUGUAAAGAGUUCUUUGCUUGAACAAAAUUGUGAUGGUCCUUUCUCUUUUAGUUUUUACUUUCUCCUCUAUAAGUAGAUGUUUUUAACUUACAGUAUAUUUGAUAUCUUUUUACCUUCUAUAAUGGUUCAGGUCAACGAUACAGUUGGAACCCUAGCUAGAGGUAGGUACCAUAAAGAUGUAAUUGCUGCUGUUAUAUUGGGUACUGGAAUAAACGCAGCUUAUGUCGAACGUGCUAGUGAAAUUCACAAGUGGCAUAUUGGCAUGGUCCUUUUCCCAAAUCAGGGGAGAUGAUAUUUGAGAAAAUGAUAUCAGGAAUGUACUUGGGUGAGAUUGUGCGAAGAGUCUUGUAUAGGAUGGCAGAUGAGGCCAGCCUUUUUGGUGAUACAGUCCCAUCAAAAUUGAAAACUCCAUUCAUCUUAAGUGUGACUUAAGCUAGCUCAAGGAGAUGGUUAAUUACCUCAGUUCAGUCCUGCAGACGAACUGCCAAGCUAGUCUACCACCAGUAGACAAUUGCACCGAUAUUGUCCCUACUGUUGCUGUAGAAGUUGAUGUUGCUGCAGAAGUUGUUCUUGCUUCAGAAGCUGCUAUUGUUGCUGCUACACCAUCCCCAGUUGCUGCUGCUAUACAAUCCCCAAUACGUUGUUGCUGCUACCAUUCUACCAAAGCUC